ACAGCCACAUCACAUUGAAACACUGGUUCCUGAAUGAUCACCAAAGUUAAGCAAUGUUGAUCAUGGUCAGUACCUAGAUUGGUGACCACUUGGGAAUACCAGGUGCU
rnacentral:rRNA from 1 species